rnacentral:lncRNA from 1 species
CCCUUGGAGUGGAAGGAAAGAACUGACUCAGCAUGUCCUGAAGAAUCUUAAGGAUGGGGCAUCCCUCUCAGCAUCCCAAGACUUGGGAAGGUAAAAGAAGGACCUUCAAUUUGGUAAAGGAAAAAACCAAAUGGAAAACUGAGUGAUGAUUUUAAUCCCAGCACUCAUGUGGCAGGGGCCAGUCUGGAUUACAGAGCAAGUUUCAGAGCAGCCAGAGCUACACAGAAAGACCCUGUCUCAACAAAAUGAAACAAACAACAGCAACAAACAAACACACGCACAAAAGGUUCAUGAAAUGUAAUGGCUCUCAACUUGACUAUAUCUGGAAUGAACUACGAUCCAGAAUUGGAGAGCUCACCGGUGAUCUGGAUCUUGAGGCUGGAAGACACAAGUUUCUGACCUGGAUCUUGGAAUGGAGAUCUUGAGGCAUAGUAGCUAUGAAAAGCUUAGGCCCAAGGAAGGUACUAUACACCUCUAAUCCCAGGAGACUAAGGCAAGGAGAUCUCUGUGUUUAAGGUCAGCCUGUGACAAAACAAGUCCCAGAUCCAGGCAUGGUAGAAUACACCUUUAAUCUGAACCAAACCUUCUGCUGGAGACCUACAUAAGGACAUUGGAAGAAGGAAGAUUCACUCUUCUUGGCCUGCUUGCAUUUACUUGCUGGCACAUCUUUUAGAAUCUACUUCUACAGAAGACGAGCUAAAACAACUAGCCUCGUGGACUGAGCAACUACGAGAUCCUUGGACUUCCCAUUCAGAGCUGACCAUUGUUGGGGUAGUUGGACUACAGACUGUAAGUCAUCACAAUAAAUUCCCUCAAUAGAGAGAGACAUUACCAUAAGCUCUGUGACUAUAGAGAACUCUGACUAAUACAAAUACCUUGGCUCUUUUUGGCUUGUUUGGAUUUUUUUUUCAAAGAUUUAUUUAUUUUAUGUAUAUGAGUACAAUUAUAGCUGCCUUCAGACAUACCAGAAGAGGGCGUCAGAUCCCAUCACCAAUGGUUGUGAGCCACCACACAUGGUUGCUGGAAAUUGAACUCAGGCCCUGUGAAAGAGCAGUCAGUGCUCUUAACCACUGUGCCAUCUCUCUAGCACAUUUUUUUGUUUUGUUUUGUUUUUUUGUUUUGUUGUUGUUUUGUUUUUUGAGACACUGUGUCCUAUGUAGCCCUGGCUAUCCUGAAAUUCAUCAUGGAGCAUACACUGACCACUUAUUUUCAGUUAUCCUCCUGCCUCUGCCUCCUGAGAUUACAUAGUGAGAAGGCCUAGGUAACUGUUACCUCUCUAGCCUUCCUUUUUGUUCU